UACGUAGGGUGCGAGCGUUGUCCGGAAUUAUUGGGCGUAAAGGGCUCGUAGGCGGUUUGUCGCGUCGGGAGUGAAAACUCAGGGCUUAACCCUGAGCCUGCUUCCGAUACGGGCAGACUAGAGGUAUGCAGGGGAGAACGGAAUUCCUGGUGUAGCGGUGGAAUGCGCAGAUAUCAGGAGGAACACCGGUGGCGAAGGCGGUUCUCUGGGCAUUACCUGACGCUGAGGAGCGAAAGCAUGGGGAGCGAACAGG
rnacentral:rRNA from 1 species